GCUGCGGUAGCUCAGUGGUAGAGCACUCCCUUGGUAAGGGAGAGGCCAAACUGUAGCCGCGCCA
rnacentral:tRNA from 1 species